AUUCAGUGGUUAUUUAAUAGCUUUGAAAUGCCAUUCACCUGUGGCCUAUUUCACCUUUCCCAGGAUUCUUAGGGAGACCCUCGCCUCCAUUUUGAAGACGGAAAAUAAAAGCCGCAGACCUAUGAAGGUCUAAGGCGAAGUUCAGAAAAGCUGUAUCGACUGUUGAGACCUGGCGACUUGUUUAAAUUUCAUCAGCCUCACUUCUAUGAACUCUCAGAGCUGAUUACCAACUCCAACCACUCUUAACCCUCAUCCAGGAACGAACUUAUGUGUUUCCCAUUCUGAGUGGGCUUCAACAUCCUUGCAUAUGUUCAGUUCUUAAAAACCUGUUGAAAUGAGAGAUCAGGAGACAUAGGAAGGGUGCCAGAAGAGAGUGUGGUAAGUGGGGGAGGAUCUUUCCCCAAGGGAUUGGAGGUAUUUCAGACUUAGACUAUGUAUAUCUAAAAGC
ensembl:lincRNA